rnacentral:rRNA from 1 species
GGGAUAAGGGGUGCCACCAUCCGGUGGCCGCAGAGAAUAGGCCCAAGCGACUGUUUACCAAAAACAUAGGUUUCUGCUAAGUCGCAAGACGAUGUAUAGGAGCUGACGCCUGCCCGGUGCUGGAAGGGUAAGGGGAUCUGUUAGAGCAAUCGAAGCAGUGAACUUAAGCCCCAGUAAACGGCGGCCGUAACUAUAACGGUCCUAAGGUAGCGAAAUUCCUUGUCGGGUAAGUUCCGACCCGCACGAAAGGCGUAA